GAGUCAGAGCUUUUCUUCCUUUCCAUACAGUCUCUUUUUUUGACCUGAACUUGUAAAAUGGAUUUUUGCUUCCAGGAAAAUAGUCUAAGUAAAUGUUUAAGGAAAAAAAGCUAAUGAUCUCAUGUUCUAUACUUAGGAAGAAUGAAAUUGGAAUAAAGAAGGAAGACUUGAUUUCCCAUGAAAACAUCUAGCAUAUUGCUGACUGAAACCAGCUGGGAAUUUAUUCUUCAUUUUAACUCCUCUGUGUGGGGGAACUGGAACAGAAGACAUUUUUAUGACUGUGGAAGAGCAAUUUAGGUAAGUUGCUGUGAUACAUUGUAAAUAUCAACCUGCCUUUUCCUGGAUUUGGUCUUUCUUCUCGCUAAGUUGAACAAUUUGAAGCUUUCAUAAUGAAAUAUGCUUGCUUAGAAAAGUUUCUGUCAGCAUGUAUACACUCAUUUGCUUGUCAUUAUAAGCUGCUAAAGAAAAAUCUUUAGGUCAUUCUUCCAUGGUCUUGUGUCUAAAGAAAUGCUCUUCAUGAAAAACAGACUUCAUUAUGCAUGACUUUUCUUCCUCAGUUUGGUAGUAAGGAUUAUCACCAGGCAAGUUUAUAGAGAUCAUCUAGAUCUGAGCAUGUGAUUGAUAUUCAUCUUAUGCCAUCCUCAUCUGACUUGCUUUUGUCAUAUUAUGGGAAUAUUAUUAUUGGUCUACCUUAUAGAUAAGAGGAAAUCACUGUCUGAGGUACUGGAGCACACACGAUAAAGUAAUUAUUUAUAGCAGUAAAUUGACAUUUCUCAUGGCUACAAAAUGAGGUACGGACAACUUGUCCCCAUAUUUGUUUCUAAAUGGGAGACACAGUACUCUUUAAGUUCCAUUUUGACCUCUAAGUGCUGCACAGACAUUAAUGAUGAAGCAGAAUGCAAACUAGCUGGCUGAGCUCCUAGGGCACACUGGAUUAGCAGCUACAUUGGGUUACAGACAACACUCCAGGCUGCUGUGAAAAAGACACUCAGAAGGUGAUUUAUAACUUCAUCUAAAUAAUGCUUGCUUUAUUUUUUCAACAAAAACACCCACAAAGAAAUGCACUGUAGUUUGAAAACAGAUACGUAAACUGAAAUAUGUUCAAGUAGCUGCUCCCAGCUGAAGGACCAGCACUCUUUUCCAUUUCAGCAGGCAGGCAGUCAGGGGGUGCUGAAGUCCAGCCUUGGGGUCAGCAGCACUUACAUGCAGAGGUGUCAGGGGAGACUCAUUUGUUUCUUUGACAGUUGUCUUAUUUGGCAGCAUGAAUUCAAGCAGGAGUGAACAAGCCAGCUGGAAGUGAUGCACACAUCUAUCUCUUUGAUCAACAAUUCUUUUUCAGCUACCCACCUGGCUUCUUCUGAGCAGAGAGAGACUCCUGGAGUUUGGAGCCCAGCUCCUGGCUGGUGACCUGUUUCCCUGUGGCCAGGGAGGAAUUUCCAGAGGAUGAGCGUGUCAGGCAGAAGAGUUUAUGCUGAAGAAUUCAUCUUGAAGAUGUGUCUGCUGCAAGAGGGUACCAUGCUGCUGAAGCCAGGAAGCAAAGAACUGAUCUUC